rnacentral:rRNA from 1 species
GUAGGUGGCAAGCGUUGUCCGGAAUUAUUGGGCGUAAAGCGCGCGCAGGUGGGUCUUUAAGUCUGAUGUGAAAGACCCCCGGGCUCAACCGGGGAGGGUCAUUGGAAACUGGGGGAACUUGAGUGCAGGAGAGGAAAGUGGAAUUCCACGUGUAGCGGUGAAAUGCGUAGAUAUGUGGAGGAACACCAGUGGCGAAGGCGACUUUCUGGCCUGUAACUGACACUGAGGCGCGAAAGCGUGGGGAGCAAACAGGAUUAGAUACCCUGGUAGUCCACGCCGUAAACGAUGAGUGCUAAGUGUUGGGGGGUUUCCGCCCCUCAGUGCUGCAGCUAACGCAUUAAGCACUCCGCCUGGGGAGUACGGUCGCAAAGACUG